AUUGAACGCUGGCGGCAGGCCUAACACAUGCAAGUCGAACGGUAACAGGAAGAAGCUUGCUUCUUUGCUGACGAGUGGCGGACGGGUGAGUAAUGUCUGGGAAACUUCCUGAUGGAGGGGGAUAACUACUGGAAACGGUAGCUAAUACCGCAUAACGUCGCAAGCCCAAAGAGGGGGACCUUCGGGCCUCUUGCCAUCGGCUGUGCCCAGAUGGGAUUAGCUAGUAGGUGGGGUAACGGCUCACCUAGGCGCCGAUCCCUAGCUGGUCUGAGAGGAUGACCAGCCACACUGGAACUGAGACACGGUCCAGACUCCUACGGGAGGCAGCAGUGGGGAAUAUUGCACAAUGGGCGCAAGCCUGAUGCAGCCAUGCCGCGUGUAUGAAGAAGGCCUUCGGGUUGUAAAGUACUUUCAGCGGGGAGGAAGGGAGUAAAGUUAAUACCUUUGCUCAUUGACGUUACCCGCAGAAGAAGCACCGGCUAACUCCGUG
rnacentral:rRNA from 1 species